rnacentral:rRNA from 1 species
UACAGAGGUCCCGAGCGUUGUUCGGAUUCACUGGGCGUAAAGGGUGCGUAGGUGGUUAGGUAAGUCCGAUGUGAAAUCUCCAGGCUCAACCUGGAAAUGGCAUUGGAUACUAUUUAGCUUGAGGAGUGGAGGGGGGACUGGAAUUCUCGGUGUAGCAGUGAAAUUCGUAGAUAUCGGGAGGAACACCAGUGGCGAAGGCGGCGAUCUGGGAAGAUACUGACGCUGAGGUGCGAAAGCGUGGGGAGCAAACAGG